GGUGCUCACCAGUCGGUGUCCCAGUCCUGGAGGCUUGAGGAUCCCGGCAAGUUCAAGGUGCCAGUCGGAGGAACCUGAGACUCUGGAACCAUCUCUCAAUAGACUGGGAGUUUCGGCUCCCGCUUGACACGUGGACAUGUUGUCACUCAUUCUCCAGUUCGUGCUUGUUGUGGCUCACACGAAAGCUGAAAAGGAAGAAGUGGUUGGUGUCCUUGGUUCAUCAGUUUUACUGGAUCCUGAAAUCAUCGUUGAUUCCAGCAAGAAUGAAAUCCGUUGGACUUUCAAAGCCAGCAACAAAAGCCUUGAUGUUAUUUUGAUGUACAUCCCACGUCACUCCACAUUGGAACCAAGUGAACAGUUCAAGGACCGUUUACAAUUCAACGCUUUGAGUGGUGCACUGACGAUAAGCAGAUUAAAUGCCAGUGACCAAGGAGAUUACACCUUCUCUGUUGAUGGGAAAGAGUUGAAAAUAAUGGAGUUGCUUGUCAUUGAUAAAGUUAAAGAAGAGGUUGGUCUCCUUGUCUCAGCAGUUUUACUGGAUCCUGAACUCAAAGUUGACCCCAGCAAGAGUGAAAUAGUUUGGACCUUCAUCAGCAGGAGCAUUUUGCAUCAUGUCCCAGGUCACGGCUCAGUGGAACCGAGUGACCAGUUCAAGUUUCGUCUGCACUUUAAUACUUCUAAUGGUGCUCUGACUGUGAAUGAAGCAGAACGUGGUGACCAAGGAGAUUAUACCUUCAUUGUGGAUGGACAAGAGCUGAGAAGAAUACAACUACGCCUCUUUGAUGAGCUGUCAGAAGGUUCCAUAUUUACCAACAUCGAAUCACCGGGUUUCACGGUCGAACUCACCUGUGAUGUCUUUGGAGAUUCUAAUGUGUAUCAGUGGCAAAAGAAUGGAGGGGAAAUCUCCCAGCGUCACCAACUAACAGAUGAAAACAGAACACUUGUUAUCCCAAGUGCUUCAUCUGAAGACUGUGGAGUGUACACCUGCAUCACAACCAAUCCUGUCAGCUCCAUCCAGACAAGCUACACCUUAAUGUUGCGAGGGCUUUCCCUCAAGGACAUUAUAAUGAUUGCCACAUUGAUUGCAGGACAGGUGAUUUCUGCACCAUCUCUUCAUUCAGCCAUGUUACCGGACCAGUGGAGGUGGAAAACUCUCGGAGGACAUCUGGCAUACAGAUUUUAUUUUCUAAUCCUGUGGAUCUGUAAUACUUUGUCACUUACCGCCACGUACAUUGCAUUAACAUAUUGGAUUGUGGUUAAAGGUCUUUCACCGUUGGACUUUGUAGUGAUUACUGUGAUGAUCGUAGAACUGCAGCUUUCUUCAUUUUAUAUCACAGCAUUUAUGUUUGUGACCCAGAUCCAGGAAUUGUUUCAAGGUUCUCAGAUGAUCACAAUUUGGUGGAACUUCAAAGCCGUCUGUAAUUGUGUUCUCACCAAUUGUUUCAUCAUUGCCUGGAUCGUCAGCGCGACUAUAUUAGGCACUUACACCAUGGGAACUGUAACUCUUGUCUUGUCAAUGGUACUGCCAAUUGUCUUCAUUUUAAUUCUGAUGUGUUGGUUCAUAAAAGAGGAUUUGGACAAAGGUGAUUCCGUCAAGGUCACUUUAAUUAAAGCCUCGCUGCUCGUUGGCCCGAUGCUGCCACUGGUGAAUGUUAUUCUUCUGUUUUACGUGAUCAACAAGAAGAUUUCUUAUAGAAAAAUACCUUUCUGCCAAACUGGUACCUUUAACCUGGUAUUCUUACUUGGCAUUUCUGUUAGCACUUUGAUUCCAGGUUUUUACAGCAAGGACACUGUCACAUUUACUGCAUCAAUCACAAUGUUUGUGUUGCUUCUGGUGGUUUUUAUUUCAUUUGUGAUUCUUUGGUGGAAAACAGUUUGGUAUGAAGGCUUAUCUAGAUUUAUAGGAUGGAUGUCUGUCUAUAAUGUUGGUUUUCUCAUUGUCAUCAUCAUUGCUACAACUUUCUGGAUGACAUUUAAAGGCCUCAGACCAGAGGAUGUAGGAGUUGCCGUUACAUCGAUGGUGGGACUGGUGUUUUCUACAGCAUAUGCUAUUAUAUUCAUGUGCUGGUCAAGGAAAGGAUCUCCAGAAGACAAGCAGUGGUGGUGGCGACUGAAUAUUUGUAACAUUGUGGCUCUUGUCUUCAUCCUCAUUGCCCUCCUUUGCUGGAUUGUGUCUAAAGAUCAAAGCUGCGAGACCAACAUUCCAGUCUGGGUCAUAUUCACUCUAUCAGCAGUCACAGUUGUUAUAACGUUAUCCAGAUCCUUUCCAGUUUGCAGAGGUAGCCUACAUGGUCACAGGGAGAAUGUACGCACAAACUCCUUCCAGGCAGCAGUGGAACUUGAACCAGAGUCAGCUGAACUGUAAAACGUCGUGCUAGCCUCUGCGCCACCCCAAAUCAGGAUGGAAAAGACAGAGUGGGAGAUGGAUCUGGCAUGCAGAAACAAAGGAACUAACGAGAAAAACUGUGCUGAAAUAGAACAGGAUCCUGGAGAAAUGCAGGAAUUACAAACUCUC